UCCGUCUGUCUGUCUCUCUCUCAGAAAUCAAUAAACAUUAAAAAAAAAAAAGAAAGAAACUAAAUAAAAGACAUCUAUUGAAUCAGAGUUGUGGAAGAAAAAUGACUCAAUAAAAUUAAUGGUAUCAUAAACCCAUCUUUCCUUUUGAAGCAACCUCUGACUUUGUCAUCCUAGUUUCAGUGCAUAUAGGAGUGAAUCUGAGGAAAAAAUUUUAAUCGAGUUAAAAUGGCUGUCAACAAUGUCGCUAUGUACUAUGUAAAGACAUGUGUACUUAGUCCUAUUUUACUAUUUGCUCACGUGACAGACACACUUUCAAAUAUUAGCAGCCUCUAUUAUAUAUGACUUUGCCUAGUACUUUGGGAAAAUGGAGCUUUUUCCCAUCACUGGAAUAUUAAAAUUUGAAGCAUUUCUGCUUCUCACUAUAGUUAUGAACUAUGUGGGGCAUUUAAUUCAUCAAAGAGAGAUAUCCCCAAGGUCUCUGUGAUGAGUCUGUGAAUAGCCAUGCCAAAGUUACCUGCCACAAUUAUAGAGUGAGUGUCAGGACCCAAGCAAUUUAGAAAUCUCUUUCUUCUAUCUUGGGAGGCUUUGCUUUCAUCUAGUCUCAAGAAUAAUAAAUUGCAAUAGUUCUUGUAAAGGGACUUUCUUUCAAUUUUUAUAUCUAUUUAGGAUAGACUAGCUUAGUAAUGAUGAAGUAUGUGUCACUAUAUACUCUAUCUUUUUUCCUUUUAUUUCCUCCUGUCAUUCUCUUCCUUAGGAUGCUAAUGAAAAACAUGAAGCCCAAAUAAUGAGGUCAGAGUUGUUACAAUCACCAGCCCAUUCUGAAGAGUCCAAGCAGAUUUGGGGUGUCCCACUGAGCUACAUGAUCCAGAAAUUCCCCCUGGCUCAUAUAUUUUUAUAAAGGUUGAAUUUAAAUACCACAUUAUAGGUACUUCUUCAUGAGAAUUGGAUAAGAAUUCAAUUUUCCUUGCAAGGAUUUCUAGGAGUGGUAGAAGGAGGCAAUCUUACCUUAUGUCCAAUCUUAGGGGGAAAGCAUUCCGUCUUUCACCAAUGAGACACAUGAGGCACCAGAAAGGUUAAGAAUAUUCUCCAAGGACACAGAAGUAACAGGUGGCAGACCUGAGAUUUGAACCCAGAUUGUCUGACUCUAGAGUCUGUGCUCUUGACAACUCCCCUGUGACUUUAAAGAAAGGCCCCUAUUCCACAUAUUCAUUACUGUUAUACAGUGUAACCUAUAGUAAAACUGAAGGACAAAAACCUCAAACUACUAUUUCUUAUUUGAAAUAGCUGAAAUUAAAAGCCUGCUUAAAUGUUUCAAGAGAAGUUAAGUUUUCCUGUUGAGGAGCUAAAGAUUUGUAAUAUGGUUCUCAAGAAAGAGCCUUUAUCCCUUUUACUUGAAGAGAUUGUUCCUCUUUCUCAUCCAACACAACAGCUUGAAUUAGUCCAAAGUCUUGGGACGGAACCCCUAUGUGUUAGUGAAUCUAUGUUAUCAGUGAAACUCAUUUAUUUCCUUUUUAAAUUAUGAAACCUAAGCUCAUAUUUGCUUCCUACCGUCACCAGAAAAAGUUAUGGUAGAAGGUUUUGGAAUUUCUUCUCAGUUACAGUUGACAGUGAACUCCUCAGUGUCCAGCAUUAGUCUUAAACUACAUAGUUCCCAGUCUGCUAAGCAUUUAUACAAUCAUGACACAAAAAGUACAUGCAAAUAAUAUAGUGUACUGAAUUAAAAAAUUGAAUUACUUAAAAAUAAACUGGGAAGCUUCCAUUUAAGAUACCUACAGUGAUGUAUAGUGCCAAUCACCAUCUCUCUUUUAAGAUUUAAGAUGCGUCAAUUUUAUAUCUUCAUUUUUUUUAGGUUUAAUUUAAGUUCCAGUAUUGUUAACAUACAGUGUAAUUAGUUUCAGGUGUACAAUUUAGUGAUUCCAUGCUUACAUACCACACCUGGUGAUCAUCACAGCAAGUGCCCUCCCUAAUCCCCAUCACCUAUUUCACUCAUUCCCCCCA